GUCAAAGCCUGGGCACAUCAAAAGCAUUCGCAGCAUCAGCAUUAGCAGCAAUCACUCCAGGUGUCUCACGUGUCACGCCUCUCGGCGGCGACAAGGGCGCACACAUGGCAAUUUGCUGCCGGCUGCCGUUGCUCUUUUCCAUUGCUUUUGCCUUCUGCUUUUGUAUUUGAAUCUGAAUCUGAAUUGCGGCAAACGAACAAAGUGACACACUGUGUGCUGGGAUGUUGUUGAUGAUGAUGCAGGGACGAUGUUUGAUCGGCUACGUUGACUACGGAGUGCGCUUUUAAAUUCCACUCAAUCAAAUUAAAAACAAAUUUCCAAAUUUGAUUACGGCAAAAAUUAAAAUUUGCAAUAAAGCGAUUUUUGUAAUUUCGAAUCAUUUCUCAUUAGUAGAUAUUACGAUAACUUACAUGAUGAUGGAUUACCAUGUAAUCUUUAAACAUAUUGACUAAGAUAGAACAUUGGGAGAUAUUCAGUUAAAUUUACUAAUAAUAUUAUUUCACAACUACAAAAAUAUACCUUAACUUAUUAAAAGA